AGUGGCGGACGGGUGAGUAACGCGUAAGAAUCUAACUUCAGGACGGGGACAACAGUGGGAAACGACUGCUAAUACCCGAUGUGCCGCGAGGUGAAACCUAAUUGGCCUGAAGAAGAGCUUGCGUCUGAUUAGCUAGUUGGUGGGGUAAGAGCCUACCAAGGCGACGAUCAGUAGCUGGUCUGAGAGGAUGAGCAGCCACACUGGGACUGAGACACGGCCCAGACUCCUACGGGAGGCAGCAGUGGGGAAUUUUCCGCAAUGGGCGAAAGCCUGACGGAGCAACGCCGCGUGAGGGAGGAAGGUCUUUGGAUUGUAAACCUCUUUUCUCAAGGAAGAAGUUCUGACGGUACUUGAGGAAUCAGCCUCGGCUAACUCCGUGCCAGCAGCCGCGGUAAUACGGGGGAGGCAAGCGUUAUCCGGAAUUAUUGGGCGUAAAGCGUCCGCAGGUGGUCAGCCAAGUCUGCCGUCAAAUCAGGUUGCUUAACGACCUAAAGGCGGUGGAAACUGGCAGACUAGAGAGCAGUAGGGGUAGCAGGAAUUCCCAGUGUAGCGGUGAAAUGCGUAGAGAUUGGGAAGAACAUCGGUGGCGAAAGCGUGCUACUGGGCUGUAUCUGACACUCAGGGACGAAAGCUAGGGGAGCGAAAGGGAUUAGAUACCCCUGUAGUCCUAGCCGUAAACGAUGGAUACUAGGCGUGGCCU
rnacentral:rRNA from 1 species